AUAAACUCUUCUCUGCUGCUCUCCAUCGUCUCCAAUAUCACCUCUUGCGUGAGAGUUUCCUCUGACCUUUACCGCCCGCUCAGCCAACAUACGAAUACAGGAAGAAACACACAACUUAGAAAAGAUACUGGGCAUUACCACUUGUAGGAAGCUGAAAAAUGCCUCUCAACUUCGGGUCCAAAUCCCUGGAAGCUCUAAGUGUUACCUUAUAUUGAAGAAAGGCCUUUGCAGAUGUGAUUAUGUAAGGACCUUGAGAUGGGGAGAUUACCUUGGAUUAUCCAAAUGGGUCCUACUUGUAACCACAAGUGUCCUCAUAGGAGAGAGGCAGAGGGAGAUGACACAGAAGAGGAGAAGGCAGUGUGACCAAGAGCAGAGACAGGAGUCAUGUGGCCACAAGCCAAGGAACGCCAACAGCCUCCAGAAGCUGGAAGAGGCAAGGUGUGGACUCUCCUAGAGCCUCCAGAGGGAGUGUGGACUACCGGCACCUUGAUUUCAGCCUCGAGAAUGAGCUCACGUGGUUUUAACCAACCAAGUUGGUGAAAACUUGUUGCAGCAGUCAUGGGAAAACAACACGCCACUCUUCAGUCUGUAUUAGUCACGGGGUUGGAGGGGGGAGAUUAUUUCAUUACUGCUUCAUUUUCUGUUUUCUUGUUACUGGUGAAGUCAAACACUUUUUUGUACUGUUAGCUUUCUUUUCUGAAUUGCCUUUGCCCAUCAGGGGAUUAGUCCUUUCUGGUUGGUCUGUGGAGUGUUUUAUAUCAUGAGCAUAUCAGCUGUUGGUUUGUUUCCCCAAACAUUUCAGUGGGUUUGUUAUUUUUUAUAGGUGGCUUUUGGUGUUUUGAUACACAGGAGAUCAACAUUUUUCUGUGGGCAAGUCUUUUAAUCUUUGUCUAUAUGUUUUAGAAUGAUGCCAAUUUCAGUAAAAUUACAUAAAGAGAAUUUAUAAUAUAUUUUAUAGUUUCUUUUUUUAACCUCUAGUUCUUAUCUUCUUAACCAGGGGUAUAGCUGUAACUUUCAUCAUCAA
rnacentral:lncRNA from 1 species